AUUUCUAAAAUUCUAAUGUCUGAGUAUAUGCUAUCAAUAAUAAUUAAGGUUUUUUUUUUUUCUUUUUAGACGGAGUCUUGCUCUGUUGCCCAGGCUGGAGUGCAGUGGCAUGAUCUUGGCUCACUGCAACCUCUGCCUCCUGGUUUAAGUAAUUCUCCUGCCUCUACCUCCUGAGUAGCUGGAACUACAGGCACGUACCACCACGCCCGGCUAAUUUUUUGUAUUUUUAAUAGAGACGGGGUUUCACUGUGUUAGCCAGGAUGUUGAUCUCCUGACCUCAUGAUCCACUCACCUCUGCCUCCCAAAGUGCUGGGAUUACAUUCAUGAGCCACUGCGUGAUUGUGUUUCUAACUGUAACUACCCUGGACAUUUUGCUAUUCACAGACAAUUGUUAUCUUGUUUUAAUCCUUUUCAAAGAUGGUUUAUAAUGAGCUAUAGAACUUUAACAGGCACUCUCAAAUACAAGCUUCUGAUAACUUUGGAGAUCAUAACAUUGGAAUAAAGGAAAAUGUACAGGACUCAUAAAGAGCUUAAAUGUUCAAGAAUAUCAAGCAAAACAAGAGUUAACUAAAUGAACUGAACUCAGAAAGCUGAAGCAACAUUUGUUUGGAAUAUUUUGCUGAUUCUUGUUUUGCUUUUCAGAGUCAAGAAAACUUAUUUGGAAUUAUUUACAGCUUUUAACAAUUAAGUAAGGUAUACACUUCUGUGAUCAAGAUUUGGAGCCUGUUUGUUUCUCUCUGCCUGGUUCCUCUAAAAUUUGGAAACUAUCUAUACAGCAAGAAAGCAGCAUCUGCAAGAAAGCCCUCACCAGGACCAAAUCAGCUGACACCUCAACCUUGGACUACCCAGCUUCCCGAACUGUGAGGUAUAGAUUUUUAUUGUUUAAGUCACCAAGGCUACGGUGUUUUUAAUAGCAGCCCAAGCCCAGGAAUACAUCAUCUGACUCACUAUUUUGAAUCAAACUCUUCAGUUUCUCCAUCAACUUAGCUGGCAGCUCCUGUCCCCAGCAGCAUCAGAGGCCCCAUGAAAAGAGCUCCAGCAGGGGCUCAGCCUGCAUGGGUCCCAUGCGGCAGCCUCAGUGUCAGAGCCUGGAUGGCAGGUGAGGCUCCAGUGACACAACCACAAUGUGAAAGUGUAAGAGUUUUUAACUACUUAUAGAUACUGGAAAGCACAGGGCACACCUGGAGACCACAGACACUGGGGUCAGAGAGCCCAGGCAGGGAGGAGAGAAGGGAACUGUAGGCCAAUGGCUUUAUUGGGUCUAGGGUGUUAUUGACAGGUUUCCAGAAGGGAGCUUUAAUGGGUGUGUUUAAAGCAGGCAAACACUGGGGCAAGAAGAUCACACUGUGACUGAGAGGUGGUCACUUUAAAUUGGAGGGCGAAUGUCACAACUGUUUCAGUUUAAAGGAAGCAGCUGGCGAGAGGGGAGCCCAGCACACUAUGCAAGAGAGAUGCCUCUAAGAUUUUAUCUGUGGCCACCGACUGGAGCCAUUUGGACCGGGUACAGCAGUGGAAACUCUGUGAUGGUGACAAACAUGGGAAUCACUCUGAUGUGACGCAGUUAAAUUUACACCUUAAAAAAUGGAUGCCAAGACAACAUAAACAAGACCCAGGGACACCAACAGGGUAUGGUGCUGUGCCCCAGAGUCAGGGUCCUGGGUUCUUACCCAGGGAAGUGAGAAAUAAAGAUAACUUUUCCCUGCUCCCUCUCUCCUCCCCUGACACUGAUCUUCCCACCCUGUACCUCCCUCUUCUGCUCCCAAACCCCCACCCAGUGCUCAGUCGCAGACAUCACUGCCUGCAGGGCAUGCACAGUGCAGCCCAUUGCACACAAACUACAAACUCACAGAAGGUGAUGACAAUUUGUGUUUGGGACGUCUGAUUGUGAAAGAGGGAGGACAGCGUACUUGCAGCCACAGAGACUGAAACUGGAACGUGAUGGAACGGGGCUGGAACGUGAUGGAGCUCUGACAUAACAGACGUGUGACUUUGUGUGAAAUGUGCAGAUCCAUGUGGAAUAAAACACAGCCUAGCCUGUGGCUGCUGCCGUCCACAUUUCCCUCAUCUUCCAACAGAAGUCAGCAGGGUCCCUCCCAGCCUGGAACCUCCCUAGAGACUGCUGACCUCCCUUGGCAGGGCCCACAGGCCAG
rnacentral:lncRNA from 1 species